rnacentral:rRNA from 1 species
UACGUAGGGUGCAAGCGUUAUCCGGAAUUAUUGGGCGUAAAGAGCUCGUAGGCGGUUUGUCGCGUCUGCUGUGAAAACCGGAGGCUCAACCUCCGGCCUGCAGUGGGUACGGGCAUACUAGAGUGCGGUAGGGGAGAUUGGAAUUCCUGGUGUAGCGGUGGAAUGCGCAGAUAUCAGGAGGAACACCGAUGGCGAAGGCAGAUCUCUGGGCCGUAACUGACGCUGAGGAGCGAAAGCGUGGGGAGCGAACAGG